AUCUGCUUCAUCUCCCUGGGCAAUGCCAAGGAAGACCACAGCAAAGAAAAGACAGAUGAACUUCAUGGUUCUUCUAAGACUUGUUCUAUGUUGCUGAAAGGAGUCACAAGGAUGAACUGGCAAUGGACCAAGCAGAGAAGCAAGAGGCAGAGGCAUUGGAAGAUCUGAGUGGUCCUCAGGAUGAAAACCCAGCUGGUUACGAUGAAGCUUUGGAGGAUGAAGGAAACAUGAAACGGAGGAAUGGUACCAAUCUAUGUGAGAGUGCCGGUGGUAAAUGCUUUUUCGCCUUCUGCCCUCGUGGAUCUAUGCGCAUUGGAAAAUGCGGCCGAUUCCGUCGCUGCUGUAAAGAGCAAAAUCAAGCAAGAGGAGGAGGAGGAAGCAGUCAGUCAGGGCCAACAUCUGGACUGACUGCAAGGAAGGAGGUAGGGCAGGUGGCAUGAAGGCUGAUUGAAGUCCAACUGAGGCUUGUGAGGAAUGCCACAGAUGGCCCG
rnacentral:lncRNA from 1 species